rnacentral:sRNA from 1 species
GAGAAAUUGGUAAGAGUCCAGUGGGGUCCCCUGAUUCCAUGCUGCUAAUCCUGGGCUCCAGUUUCCCCUUGGGACCCUGAAGAAAGGGGCAGGGGUCCCCUGGUGCCAAGGGCGAAUGGGGAGCUGGGGGGCCCAGGCCUCAGCUGGAGGGACCCCAGAGCACGGAGCAUGCAGCAUGGCUCUUCUGUUGCUGCCCUCUUUGCCUACUCUCUCUUCUCUAGACACCCCUGCUCGAGUCCUUGCCACACAUGCCCUGGGGUUGUUGCCUCUUGGGGAAGCGCUAGCCUGACUGGUUGUCAGGAGCCCCGUAUUUCCGCCCUGACUCAGUCCUUAAUUUGCUCUUUGAUUUGGGAUAAGCCACCUCUCCUCCUUGGGCUUGCAUUUCCUGAGGAGGUAGAGUUAGAGAGUAUCAAAGGUCUCUUAGCUCUGAGAGUCCAAGAUUUAAAGGCCCAUUAGAAUGUAAACCUCAGGGCCAAGGGCUCCUGUCUGUCUUUUUCUGUCUGGUAUCCCUGCUAUUAAGAACCGUACCUGGCCUGUGUGUGCUCAGCAAAUGUUUGUUGAAUGAUUACACCUUUCUAAAUCACAAACUGGCAGAGGGUGGGCUUUUCUCACACUCCAUCUCUAGAGGUUUAUGUUACUGUCCUUUCAAGAGAAUCCAGAUUCAGACUUUCAGUUCUGUGGCUGUGGGCAAAAACCAACAAAGACACAAAUCCCCUUUCCUUGAGAGCCUGAGGAGAGUUUACCAGUUCGUGUUCCCAUUGGGUCUGAGAACUUUGCCUUUAAAAUCCAUUCCUGGCCCCUGCCUACCCCUUCCUGGUCUCGGGAAUAGAGUUAAGGGGGCCACCCUCAGUCACCUUCCUUUGACUCUUCCCCACAGAAACAACAGAACCAAGAAAUUACGGAUCAGUUGGAAGAAGAAAAGAAAGAAUGCCACCAAAAGCAGGGAGCCCUAAGGGAGCAGUUACAGGUUCACAUUCAGACCAUAGGGAUCCUCGUAUCAGAGAAAGCUGAGUUACAGACAGCCCUGGCUCACACUCAGCAUGCUGCCAGGCAGAAAGAAGGAGAGUCCGAAGAUCUGGCCAGCCGCCUGCAGUAUUCCCGGCGGCGUGUGGGAGAGUUGGAGCGGGCUCUCUCUGCUGUCUCCACGCAGCAGAAGAAGGCAGACAGGUACAACAAGGAGUUAACCAAAGAGAGAGAUGCCCUCAGGCUGGAGUUAUACAAGAACACGUAGGAUGGGGGAUGGUGGGAUGGGAGGUCUGGGGGCCCUCAGCAUGGGUGGUGUGCUGGGAGGUGGGGGGUACAGGUAAGCAUGGUGAGGUGGUCAUACAGGUGUGCAUGUGUGCCCAGCAAAGCUCUAGUGCCGGCUGUGCCACUGACUCAUGGUGUAGCCUUGGGUAACUCGUGUCUUUUCUCUGGCUGGGGUUCCUUCCAGUGCCACAGUUCUGUGGUUGUGGGGCAAGGGUAGAGGGUGGAUCACCAAAGCAGUCCUUUCUGUUCUUUGUUCAUUCCUUUCUCUACUGCCUCUGGCCAUAGCCAAAGCAAUGAGGACCUGAAGCAAGAGAAAUCAGAAUUGGAAGAGAAGCUUCGGGUCCUAGUGACUGAGAAGGCUGGCAUGCAGCUUAACUUGGAAGAAUUGCAAAAGAAGUUAGAGAUGACGGAACUCCUGCUUCAACAGUUUUCAAGCCGGUGUGAAGCCCCUGAUGCUAACCAGCAGUUACAGCAGGCCAUGGAGGAGCGGGCACAGCUGGAAGCACACCUGGGGCAGGUAAUGGAGUCGGUUAGACAACUACAAAUGGAGAGAGAUAAAUAUGCGGAGAAUCUCAAAGGAGAGAGCGCCAUGUGGCGGCAGAGGAUGCAACAGAUGUCAGAGCAGGUGCACACAUUGAGAGAAGAGAAGGAAUGUAGCAUGAGUCGGGUACAGGAGCUGGAGACGAGCUUGGC